rnacentral:misc_RNA from 1 species
UACGGAGGGUGCGAGAGUUAAUCGGAAUUACUGGGCGUAAAGCGCGAGUAGGCGGCUUGAUAAGCCGGUUGUGAAAGCCCAGGGCUCAACCUGGGUACGGCAUCCGGAACUGUCAGGCUAGAGUGCAGGAGAGGAAGGUAGAAUUCCCGGUGUAGCGGUGAAAUGCGUAGAGAUCGGGAGGAAUACCAGUGGCGAAGGCGGCCUUCUUGACUGACACUGACGCUGAGGUGCGAAAGCGUGGGUAGCAAACAGG